UGGCGCAGCUUAAGACCGUGUCCUCUCGUCCUGGGAGAAGAGGCCGACCCCCACCUGGCUACGGCCUCCUUUAGCUGUCGGCAGGUGGAAGCUCCAUUGCGGGACAGCCGAGCUGUGCCUGCAGCUGCUGCCCCUGGGCUGCUCAAGAGGCCUGGGGAAACAGCGGUGACGUCUUUACGGAAAAAUACAUCUAUAGAUUCAAAACACUCUUGCGUGCGCUGCUCAGAGGUGGCCGCUUCUACGGGAAAAGCCCUGCUGCCUUCUUAAGUGACCCGUGUCCAAGUGGGACCAUAAACAGAUCAUUUACUUUGUGCUGUGCUCCUACUGACACAGUCUUUGACCUUUGACGCAAUUUGGCAAAUCAAAUGGCUCUUAUUACAAAAGCCUUUGAAACACGCUGUCCCUUCCACGCUGUACUGUCUGCUGGGGACCAGGGUACUUGAAAACAGACACCUGAAGAGAAAAAAGAGAGCCAGUGCAGUUUCCAUAGGAGCUUAAGGAGCUGUCAAGUUUAUCCCAGAUAUUCGUGAGCAGGGGACAGCUAAGCAGUCCUAUUGCCUACUGCACGAUGUGCCUUGACUGCAAAACCCAUCAACUUCUGGCCAGAGAAGCAGCAAUAAAAACCCUCAGAGCUCUCAGUGUACAAGUCUACUUGUAGAUGAAGAGUUUAGGUUGUUUUUCCCUGGUUCCCAUUUUUCUCUGGUGAGACGGAUGAAAAACAGUGCUCCAUGGAAACCAGCUCUCCUGGCAUUGGACAAAGAGCAGCAGAUCUCCUGAGCAGAAAUGACCCAGGCUGAAGUGUAUCCAGACUAGCACAGUGAUUUAUUAAGAACAAAACCAGCACAUUACCUGU